GUAGUCUCGCACAGAUGCAUAUCAAUAAGCGGAGGAAAAGAAACUAACAAGGAUUCCCCUAGUAACGGCGAGUGAAGCGGGAAGAGCUCAAAUUUGAAAUCUUAAAGGGUUUCCCUUUACGAAUUGUAGUUUAAAGAAGUGUUUUUCUGUUGAGGUUUUGGUAAAAGUUCUUUGGAAUAGGACAUCAUAGAGGGUGAGAAUCCCGUAUUUGACCUUUACUUUCAACUUUGUGAUACACUUUCAAAGAGUCGGAUUGUUUGGGAAUGCAGUCCAAAAUGGGUGGUAAAUUUCAUCUAAAGCUAAAUAUUGGCGAGAGACCGAUAGCGAACAAGUACCGUGAGGGAAAGAUGAAAAGAACUUUGAAAAGAGAGUUAAACAGUACGUGAAAUUGUCAAAAGGGAAGCGUUUGACACCAGUGUUGUUUUUCUGAAAAUCAAUUAAAGAACUGUUUAUGCUAAGCUGUUUAGACUUUAUCAGCUAACUGUUUAGUUUUGAGCUUUUCUUUAAUGCACUUUUCAGUUAACAAGUCAACAUCAAUUUCUUUUGCUGUAAAAAAGCUUGAGGAAGGUGGCUUGAGAUUCGUCUUAAGUGUUUAUAGCCUCUUGCCUAUGCAGUCGGAGAGAUUGAGGUCUGCAGCGUAGAUCCUUCGGGGCUAAAUGCAUUUGUGCUAAGUUAUAGCAUUUUAUAGACAACUUGUUGACUAUGAUUUGUCUUGUAGCUUACUCGCUUAUGUUAUUUUACCUACGCUUAGGAUGUUGAGUAGCGACAUACGCAC
rnacentral:rRNA from 1 species